UUUUUCAGUAUGUCUAAGCCUCUCCACCCAAUCACCAGCAGUCGUCGCAAACCAAGCUCUGCCGCCUGUAGUAUUAUAGAGUGUCGCAGUCGAAGCCCCUCUCAUUGCUGGAAUUUCAUCAAAAACGAUAAAAUAAUCAAGUAUUUAAGUAAAUUGUCAGUUUUUAGGGCAUCCAGAUUAUUAAGUUCAUCUUAACAACAAAAUAGUCAAGUCUUUUUCCCAGUGAUCUAAUCAACAACAAGACUACCACCACCUACCAAGUAAAAUUAAAAACGGGUAAACAUUAGCUGUUUUACUUCCCAAAGGUAUUCUGUUCCUUUUAUCUCAAUUUUCCAGAAGGAGUUUAUUCCACCCGUUUUCGAAGGCUUUAAAAGAAAUUAAAAAUCGUUAGUGAGUUAGUUUAAAAAAGAAACAGAGAUUAACGAAGGAAAAUAUGGCAUAAUUUUUUUAUUUUAUCUUCCUCUUUGUCCCUAUCUCUUCGCCGUUGCCGUCGCCGGACGCGUCACCGACGGCGAGUCUUCCUCCUCGCCCUGCCGAUUGCCAACCCUGCACAAAAAAACAAACAAACCAAAUAAAAUAAAAAAAUCAAGAAAAAAGCUUCAUACCCUAGGUCUACAAAUCGGGACUGAUAUGUCACCGGAGGACUCGCCAGAACAUCCUCUAAUGACAUGCAAGUCUAGACUGGACGAAAAUUAGAAAAAAAGGGGUUUCCGAGAUUUCUUUUACCUUUUCUUAUUUUCUGUUGUUGUUGAUGGCCGAGAGAGGGAAGGGGAGGCAGAGGAGGCCGCCGUCGUCGUCGUCGCUGAAAAACAGAGAGUGAAGAGGCGGUCGAGAAAAAAAAGGAAGAAAAAAGAGAGAGACGAGAGGAGAAAGAAAGGGGAAGGAGAAAAAAUAGGUCGCCGCCGUUAAGAGAGACGGCUGAGAAGGAAAGAAAAAAAAGAGGGGGAAAGGAAGGGAAAAUAACAGAGAAAGAAAUGGAAAAAAAGAGCAGUGCGAGAGAGACAUGGGAUGUUUUAGAGUGAGGGCAGAGAGUUUGGGGACAUGAGAGGAAGAGAGAGAGUG
rnacentral:lncRNA from 1 species